CCCAUCCCUCUCCCCUUCUCCCGGGCUCCGGGCUCCAAGAGCAGAGAGGCGGGCCGCGGACGUCCCCACCCCCACCGCCGCCCCAGACCGCGCCCUCGUGCGCCCGCUCGCAGCGGUCUGGAGCCUUCCUAUUGGAUAUCGAUUAUUUUCGUCGACAGUUCUUGGCGUAGUCGCGGCAGGAUUUCAGAGAAACCCACCAGAGGCCACCUGGAAUCUACACUGAACCGGCAUUCGGUACCAAUAAGGGCCCAUUGAGCCCCCCGGAUCACUGCAUUCUUCAGGUGACCUUGUCGAGGUUAAGUUCAGGCUGGACCUGACCAGAACCUGGACCUCCUGUAAAUCGAAAACUUGGGUUUGUCUGUGCCUUUGUGAUGCAGUUGGACAGGUAGAUCAACCUGGAAUGUAAUUUGAGUUAAAACCCAGUUUCUGAGAAAUCAAGAGUUUUGGCAUAAAAGAAGUCCCAGAACUAAAGGAUCAUGGACUGUAACCUGAAGAAUUUAUUUAUGGAAAGAGACAUCAAAUAAGACUCUUUGCAGCCCUGUUGAAAAGGACAAUACCAGGAGGAGAAGAAGACGACAUCUGUUGUAGACAGCUGUCCCAGACUCCGGACCAGGCCUGUAUUCCCA
rnacentral:lncRNA from 1 species